UGACGCUAAUACCGGAUAAUAUCAUAGAGACCUUGGUUUUUAUGAUCAAAGAUGGCCUCUCCUUGGAAGCUAUUGUUUGGAGAUGAGCCCGCGUCCCAUUAGCUUGUUGGUGGGGUAAUGGCCUACCAAGGCAACGAUGGGUAGCUGGUCUGAGAGGAUGAUCAGCCACACUGGAACUGACACACGGUCCAGACUCCUACGGGAGGCAGCAGUGAGGAAUUUUGCGCAAUGGGGGAAACCCUGACGCAGUAACGCCGCGUGAGUGAUGAAGGCUUUCGGGUCGUAAGGCUCUGUCAAGUGGGAAGAACUCCCGUGAGGUUAAUACCCUCAUGGUUUGACGGUACCACUGAAGGAAGCACCGGCUAACUCCGUGCCAGCAGCCGCGGUAAUACGGGGGGUGCAAGCGUUAUUCGGAUUUACUGGGCGUAAAGCGCGCGUAGGCGGCCGUUUAAGUCAGAUGUGAAAGCCCGGGGCUCAACCCCGGAAGUGCAUUUGAUACUAUUCGGCUUGAGUAUGGGGGAGGGAAGUGGAAUUCCUGGUGUAGAGGUGAAAUUCGUAGAUAUCAGGAGGAACACCGGUGGCGAAGGCGACUUCCUGGACCAAUACUGACGCUGAGGCGCGAAGGCGUGGGUAGCAAACAGGAUUAGAUACCCUGGUAGUCCACGCAGUAAACGGUGAUCACUAGGUGUAGCGGGUAUUGACCCCUGCUGUGCCGCAGCUAACGCAUUAAGUGAUCCGCCUGGGGAGUACGGCCGCAAGGUUAAAACUCAAAGGAAUUGACGGGGGCCCGCACAAGCGGUGGAGCAUGUGGUUUAAUUCGACGCAACGCGAAGAACCUUACCUGGAUUUGACAUCUCGGGAAUUUCUAUGAAAGUAGGAAGUGCCCUUCGGGGAGCCCGAUGACAGGUGCUGCAUGGCUGUCGUCAACUCGUGUCGUGAGAUGUUGGGUUAAGUCCCGCAACGAGCGCAACCCCUAUCUUUAGUUACCAGCACUUCGGGUGGGGACUCUAAAGAUACUGCCCCGGUCAACGGGGAGGAAGGUGGGGAUGACGUCAAGUCCUCAUGGCCUUUAUGUCCAGGGCUACACACGUGCUACAAUGGGCAGUACAGAGGGUCGCGGCACUGCGAGGUGGAGCUAAUCCCUUAAAGCUGUUCCAAGUUCGGAUUGGAGUCUGCAACUCGACUCCAUGAAGCUGGAAUCGCUAGUAAUCGCGGAUCAGCAUGCCGCGGUGAAUACGUUCCCGAGCCUUGUACACACCGCCCGUCACACCAUGAGAGUUGGUUGUACCCGACGUCGCUGGGCUAACUCAUUAGAGAUGCAGGCGCCUAAGGUAUGGCUGAUGAUUGGGGUGAAGUCGUAACAAGGUA
rnacentral:rRNA from 1 species